rnacentral:rRNA from 1 species
AGUGAACGCUGGCGGUAGGCCUAACACAUGCAAGUCGAACGGCAGCACAGUAAGAGCUUGCUCUUACGGGUGGCGAGUGGCGGACGGGUGAGGAAUACAUCGGAAUCUACUUUUUCGUGGGGGAUAACGUAGGGAAACUUACGCUAAUACCGCAUACGACCUACGGGUGAAAGCAGGGGAUCUUCGGACCUUGCGCGAUUGAAUGAGCCGAUGUCGGAUUAGCUAGUUGGCGGGGUAAAGGCCCACCAAGGCGACGAUCCGUAGCUGGUCUGAGAGGAUGAUCAGCCAGACUGGAACUGAGACACGGUCCAGACUCCUACGGGAGGCAGCAGUGGGGAAUAUUGGACAAUGGGCUCAAGCCUGAUCCAGCCAUACCGCGUGGGUGAAGAAGGCCUUCGGGUUGUAAAGCCCUUUUGUUGGGAAAGAAAGGCAGCAGGUUAAUAACCCGCUGUUCUGAAGGUACCCAAAGAAUAAGCACCGGAUAACUUCGUG